rnacentral:rRNA from 1 species
UACGGGGGGUGCGAGCGUUGUCCGGAAUCACUGGGCGUAAAGGGCGCGUAGGUGGUUUGAUAAGGGUGUGGUGAAAGUCCGGAGCUCAACUCCGGAUCUGCCGUGCCGACUGUCAAACUCGAGGGCUGUAGAGGCAGACGGAAUUCCGGGUGUAGCGGUGGAAUGCGUAGAGAUCCGGAGGAAGACCGGUGGCGAAGGCGAUCUGCUGGGCAGUUUCUGACACUGAGGCGCGACAGCGUGGGGAGCAAACAGG